UUUAAGCAAACGAGUCCCAAAUAGGACGAAACGCGCGUCCUGGAU
rnacentral:hammerhead_ribozyme from 1 species